AUUGAACCCUGUAUUAGACUACAUUAAUUAGCAUCCUGGGUUAUCUAAAGAAUGACUUCGAUUUCUGACACCCUUUCUUUUAAGUGGUAAUAACAUUGCUGAAGAGACCCAGGUACAUCUGCUUAAGUUGGGUUCAUUGAUCUGGGUACAUCUGCCUAAGUUGGACUGAGCAGUGCCUUAUAAAAGGAAACUUACCAUUGCCAUCAUUAUGGUGAAUGUCAUCUGAUGCAUAGUAUGCUAUGCCAUCUAUUCCAUUUCCCGUAGUUUACACACACCAUUGGCAUGGGGAUCUAACUCUCCAUAUGUGCCAAGACAAGUUUAAAAACAACAGAGCAAUCAUUAUUCAUGCAUUUCUGAAACAACAUGGCAGUACAGGUCGUGCCGGUUGACAAUCAUUGGAUAGAUGAUGUUUGGCAUGACCUAUCAAUGGGGUUCUUAACGGAAUAUUUUGGGAUUUGACGCUGCUUGCUGGAAGGGGUGACACUGUCACUCACCAAAGGAACUCAUGGCGAAGGUCAGAAUUAGGCAUCUACAUGGCAAAGCCAGCAUACAUGGCAAUUUGAUUUUAAGGUAUUGAUCAGAUUAGAUUUGAUGCAACCUGUUUGGAAGUCAGGCCCCUUCGACUUUGAGGUGCAAAUUAAUCUUUUGCUUGUCUCCUAGCUUAGAAUCGCCUAUGGAUUGUUGUUGUUUAUAACUUAGAGGUUGGCCAAACAAUUAGUUUUGUCCCCUAUGCAUCGAACCUCGAGACAUCUCAUCACUUGUUCAUGAAGAGUAGAUUAGUUAAAGCCAUCCGGGCAGGAAUAAGCCUGUGCUUGACUGAAGUUUCUUCAGCAAGCCCUCCUUCGGCCUGUUCAGUAUUGGAAUGGUGGUGCCACAAGAUUUCAUCAGAAAAGAUGCAACGCAAAGGGCUCAGGACCCUCUUCUUGCUGUGGUCUGCUGGCCACUGCCGGGAAUUUGGAUGGAGCGAAACAAUAGAAACUUCAAGAAAGAGGGAUGGUCAAUUCAGCACAUUGUCGACAAAUUCUUUUUUUACGAGAUCAAUCAGUGAAGCAGCUGCAGAGCAAAAAGGCUGGUACAGUUCUCUCGAAGAGAGAGAGCCGUUUUUUGUUAGUUUGUAUAGCCUCUGGCUUCGGUUCUAUUUUGUUCGCUCCUAUCAAAAUAUGCACAAAAUAGGCAGUCAUGCCCAUGUUUACAAGUA